UCCACUUAUGUCAGUCCGUAAUGACGGAAAGUCAGCUGGUUAUUCUCGGCGUUUCCAAUAUCGUUACAUAAUUAAUCAAAAACACGCGAUAAGAGAUGUCUGAAUCAGUCCUAAAUCACUUUAAUACCAGUAGAGAUGAAAGGGUAAUAAGAGCAAAAACUCAAAUUAAGUAAUUCUUAAUCAGAACGCAAGAAGAUAAUCAAAAACUAAAAAUUUCCCAUAGAGGAAUAAUUUCAAAAAUACCAAAAUGGCCUCAAAAGUAACCCCAGAUGAAAAAGUCCAAGGAAUUUAAGUCGUUAGAGUUUUGGAAAAGUCGCUGUGAACUUCAUAUAGGUAUGGGUGACCUACUGGAAUUUUUUUUUUUUUGAAAACAAUUUUAUAUUACUCAAUAAUAUACAUAUUAUUCUAUUUAUAAUAAGUCUCUAAACAGUGCUUGUAGCUCUGGCCUCGAGAUUAAUAUAAAAAUUCACAUAUGAAACUAGUGUACACAAUAAUCAUAGGUAGGUUAUAUUAAUUAAUUAUAAUGUAAAGUAAAUUAUAAAUAAGGUAUCUCAUUACAUAACUAAUUUAUACUAAUUUUACAACUUGACUGAUUAAAUAGAAAAAUAUUCGUUGAGUUUUGUAACAAAUGUUUUAAAUAUUUGAAUAUUUCUUAAAUCAUUAGGUAGCCUAUUAAAUGCUUUAGAUGCAGAAUA